rnacentral:rRNA from 1 species
UUCAGAACGUCGUGAGACAGUUCGGUCCCUAUCUGCCGUGGGUGUAGGAGGUUUGAGAGGCUUUGUCCCUAGUACGAGAGGACCGGGAUGAACGUACCUCUGGUGGAGCUGUUGUCGCGCCAGCGGCAGUGCAGCAUAGCUAUGUACGGACGGGAUAACCGCUGAAGGCAUCUAAGCGGGAAACCCCCCUUAAAACGAGACCUCCCUUGAGGGCCGUGGAAGACGACCACGUCGAUAGGCCGGGGGUGCAAGCGCGGCGACGCGUUGAGCCGACCGGUACUAAUCGCCCGAUUGGC